rnacentral:tRNA from 1 species
GGCUUUAGUGGAAAUUGCUGGUUUUGAAAACCGGCUAGGAACGUUCGAUUCGUUUAAAAGUCU